UGAGGAAUAUUGGUCAAUGGACGAAAGUCUGAACCAGCCAUGCCGCGUGAAGGAAUAAGGCCCUAUGGGUCGUAAACUUCUUUUGUAUGUGAGCAAUAAGGUCCACGUGUGGACCGAUGAGAGUAGCAUACGAAUAAGCAUCGGCUAACUCCGUGCCAGCAGCCGCGGUAAUACGGAGGAUGCAAGCGUUAUCCGGAUUCAUUGGGUUUAAAGGGUGCGUAGGCGGCUUGGUAAGUCAGCGGUGAAAUUCCAGUGCUCAACAUUGGCCGUGCCGUUGAUACUGCUGGGCUUGAAUGCGGAUGCCGUGGGAGGAAUGUGUGGUGUAGCGGUGAAAUGCAUAGAUAUCAGGAAGAACACCAGUGGCGAAGGCGGCUUUCUGGACUGCAACUGACACUGAGGCUCGAAAGCCAGGGAAGCGAACGGGAUUA
rnacentral:rRNA from 1 species